UACGUAGGGGGCUAGCGUUAUCCGGAAUUACUGGGCGUAAAGGGUGCGUAGGUUGUUUCUUAAGUCAGAGGUGAAAGGCUACGGCUCAACCGUAGUAAGCCUUUGAAACUGGAUCUCUUGAGGGCAGGAGAGGAAAGUGGAAUUCCUAGUGUAGCGGUGAAAUGCGUAGAUAUUAGGAGGAACACCAGUGGCGAAGGCGACUUUCUGGACUGUACCUGACGCUGAGGCGCGAAAGCGUGGGGAGCGAACAGGAUUAGAUACCCCGUAGUCCCUGAGCGGGCU
rnacentral:rRNA from 1 species